CUUGGGAAUCUAGCUUAUGGAGGGGGAUAACUACGGGAAACUGUAGCUAAUACCGCGUAGAUCGAGAGAUGAAAGUGUGGGACCUUCGGGCCACAUGCCAUAGGAUGAGCCCAAGUGGGAUUAGGUAGUUGGUGAGGUAAAGGCUCACCAAGCCGACGAUCUCUAGCUGGUCUGAGAGGAUGACCAGCCACACUGGGACUGAGACACGGCCCAG
rnacentral:rRNA from 1 species